ACGGGAGGCAGCAGUGGGGAAUCUUGGACAAUGGGGGCAACCCUGAUCCAGCCAUGCCGCGUGAGUGAAGAAGGCCCUAGGGUCGUAAAACUCUUUCGCCUGUGAUGAUAAUGACAGUAGCAGGUAAAGAAACCCCGGCUAACUCCGUGCCAGCAGCCGCGGUAAUACGGAGGGGGUUAGCGUUGUUCGGAAUUACUGGGCGUAAAGCGCACGUAGGCGGAUUAGAAAGUUAGAGGUGAAAUCCCGGGGCUCAACCCCGGAACUGCCUUUAAAACUACUAGUCUAGAGUUCGAGAGAGGUGAGUGGAAUUCCGAGUGUAGAGGUGAAAUUCGUAGAUAUUCGGAGGAACACCAGUGGCGAAGGCGGCUCACUGGCUCGAUACUGACGCUGAGGUGCGAAAGUGUGGGGAGCAAACAGGAUUAGAUACCCUGGUAGUCCACACCGUAAACGAUGAAUGCCAGUCGUCGGGUAGUAUACUAUUCGGUGACACACCUAACGGAUUAAGCAUUCCGCCUGGGGAGUACGGUCGCAAGAUUAAAACUCAAAGGAAUUGACGG
rnacentral:rRNA from 1 species